AGGUGCGUUCAUACCAACUUUAAUGCAUCGUAUCCCAUGAGAACUAUGCAGUUAAGCACACUUGGGAUAUAGUAGUAUUGGGAUGGGUGACAUCCCAGCAAGUCCUAGUGUUGCACCCU
rfam:Picea glauca, whole genome shotgun sequence.